AUGUGCAUUGAGUGCAGUUGGUGCAAAGAUGUGCGUCUGCUCUACACAGGAAAAAAAGAAAAAAGAAAAAAAAUUCCAUCUGUCUGUAUUUGAAAUCAGCUCGCCAGCCUGUAGUUGGUCGAACCCCACCCAGAUGGUGCUGCGCAAAUGUAUGUUAAAAGAUAUCUUAUAUUAGUGUUGUGGGUGUCCAAUUUUUUUUGAAUGCCAUUUAGCCAAUGUGCCCAACCUGCUGCACAGAGAAAUCGUGACAAAAUAAAGAUAUGCUGAAGAGUUUCUAUUUCAAGGGCCAGAUCCUGCAAACAGUUCUGGAUGGCAAAUAACUCAAGCUAUGACUGUUCUGUGUUAACAGUGAGCAUACAACAAUCAUUACCAUACCAGAGCCAACUUUUGCCCCAGCUACCACAUACUGUCAUGGGUGAGUGUGUCUCAGUAUGCAUAUUACAAGACAAGCACUGUGUUCAGAUGGAGUGGAGAGUACAUAUGCACAGAUGACUUUGAUCUUUGGGGAUUUUUGUUUGCUGGUGGGUGUAACCGAGCGCAGCUGGCUCUCCUGGCCCCUGCCUCUGCUAGGCCCAGAUAAAGUCACUCAGAGACCCUCUAGUUCUGAAACCACUGGUGCUUUUAUUUACAAGUCUGGGUUCCCACCACCUUCUCACCAUACUGUGAACACAGCUCUGGGUUCCUUGUGUCUGAACCCAGGAGGGAAGGAUUUUCUCUCUGCCUGCACUCCCUCGCUCUCCUCUGUCCCACCCCUCCCUCUUCCUUCUUCCCAGCCUCUUUUAUAGCCCUGGGCUAAUUGGACUGGCAGCUGGCUCUCUUUCCCCAUUAGGGCAGGUUCUUUCCAGCCAGUGCCACUUUAUUCACUUAAAUGGGGCUGGCGUGGCAGGGGGCUGAUUCUACAUUCUUGCUGCUCAGCACCCUGUCACAGUAGGACACACAAAUCUUGAGAACUGCCAAGUUAAACAUUAGGCUGCCUGGGGAGGCCUAGAGAGGAGUAAUAGUCCAGCAGCAGUAUAUGCAUUAAACAUUUAUGCAUUCCAAAUCAAAAAACUAUGUUACAAUGGAGUUGAUUGACUGUACAUAUUGGUAACCUCAGUGUAAAAUACAUUACAGGUAUGUUGCAAUUAUCCUCAAGACCUGGAAGUUCAGAACUCAGGUUACACUUAAAAGAAAUCAAAACAUGUUAAGACAUGGAAAUGCACAAUUAAGACAUCCAAACAACCUUAACUCUGCCCUGCAGUGACCCCACGCAAUAACGGUAUGACGGUGAUUAAGAUGUAUUGUGGUUCAAGAGUAGAUUAAAAUGAUUUUUAAAGACACUUUAUGGUUUUCUUAAAAAUAUUUUUACUCCUUCUGAUGUCACUACAGUGCAGAUCCUACAGCCAAACAUAUCUGAACUUUGGAGUAUUCAAAAUCUAGAUUUGGAUCCAGAUCUAAAUGUUGUGGUUACAGCUGUUUCCGUAAACUGCAAAUGAUUCGUAUUUAAGAAAUAACACAAAACCAGCAGCUAGGGUAGGCAUAUAUUGCAAGGAGAGGCCUAUUCUUUUCCUCUUCUUAACUCCAUGAUUAGAAGUUGGGAAGAGUAGUGUCCUUUGCAGCAUAAGUCAUGAACAAAGCCAAACACUAGAGAACUUAUUUGUGUCCAUUUUCAAACCAAUCAUCUCUAUGAUAAACUCCUCCAAAACCUCAUUAGACUAUCUGUCCUAUGAAGACAUAUGUGGAUUUCACCACUCUAAUGCAAUUACUAUAUGGGAUUGUAACAGGGCAGCUGCUGUUUAUGGUGCAUUAGGGCCCAGUCUGCCCAUGACUGCCUUAUGAAGGCCCCACCUAUGGGUAAUUGACUGCCCCAGGGUCUGAUUAGUAAACAAGCACCUGGAUCGAAUACAGGUUACCCAAGCUCAGUCAUUGGGGAAUGUUCAAGGGAGACAGAAGGUUCCAUAGAGAGGAACUCCCCAGAAAGGUCAGAGCCCAAGGGCUGAGCAAGGAGCCUAGAAGGUGAGCUCUGCAGGGAACCCGCUGGAAUGGGGAGCCUGAAAGAGGUGCUCAUAGAGAGGGGAGCCUGCUAGAUGGAAGGCUGCAGUUUCAGUCUAGGAGUAUGGAAGGGUGGUUCGCAGAUAUGAGCUGGAAGCCUGGUAUGGCAAGGAUCACCUGCUCUCCCUGGAGAAGAGUUGCAGUGGAUGGACACCUCUGGAAGCCUGACUCCAGAGAAGACUCAUACUCCAGUAGAGACAUGAGGCCUGAUACCAGGGUAGAGUCCAAGAGCUGAGAGAACUCCUGUGGAGAGCCUGGAUAGAGGCAAACACUGGAUUCAGAUUUCCAUGACUCUGCUCCAUGAUGCUGGACAGGAGGACAGCCAUGAUGCUGGUGUUAACAAAAAUAUAUAUUCUGUCCUACAUUUGUCAACUGGCGUUUGCUUUGCACAUGAAAACACAUGUUGAAGUCUCUAAUGAGCUGCUGAUGGGUAAGAACAAAUAGCUUGGGAAAAAAGUGCUUUGGCUCUUUCCACAUAAAGACACUGAUGUCCUAAGUUAACAUCAAGCUAAUAAUAUGUUUUAAAGCUCAGAGCUAAAGCACACAUGAAGUUGUAUGUGCCAGUGCUGCUGUGGAUGCAAUUAGUGUAAAUGGGAUUUGGCCUAUCAGAUUUCAUACAGUCAAGUUCUGUAACCACCUGGCCACAUCAUAUAUGCUAAUCCUUUUCUCUUAAUAAGAAAAGGGUUUACGGUGGAAUUGAAUUGAAACAGAUAAAAUAUAUACCAAUCUGCUGCAGUAGAACACUUUGGAGUUUUGGAGAUUGGUUUUUGAAGGGUCAAUUCUAAUCAAAUUUGGUGAAAAACUUGUUGGAUUUAUACUAAUAUUUAAUAUAUGAAUUUUGUAUUAUUUGGGUGUUUGUUCACAUGCUGAGAUGCUCCAGUCAGAAGAAGAAUUAUUGCUAGCUGCAUUUCCAAACCAGUUUCAGUUAUACUUUAUGGUCUUCACAAAUGCCCAGCUUCAAGCUUUUUUUUUCUUUUGGGUUGGUUAGUGCAUCAUGUUUUUCUCAUCCUUUACUAGAUGCAGCCAAAAAGAGGGUUCAAUUUUAUAGCCGCAGCACUCUGUGAUUCAUGGAAAUGUGAAUUUUUUCAAAAGAAAAGAUAAAUGAAGGAAUGAAAUGGUUGAAAGUUCCUCCUUCAAUAGUUUAUAAGUUUUGUAUUAACAGCUAGAACUAUGAAUUUUUUUAUUGCAUAUGAUGUUCUAACUAAAAGCUUAGAAACAUAUCCGCCAUGUAUGCUUGUGUGUUUAUUUCUUUGGGGCUCUGCUUUGGAUCUCAGAGAGAUGGUAUAAUCCAUAGACUGUUCAGUUGACUAUGGCAAAUUGUCCCUUAUUGAAUAAUAGAGGCUCCUUUCUUCAGAAAUUUCCAUAGGACGGGAUCAAGAAGGAUGGCUAGGAACACUCCAUGAGGAUUCCCCUUGUGAGUUUUCCCCAAUCUCUCUGUUUAAGGAAGAGUUUUGUUGCAUGGUUUUCUCCCAACUUUGUGAAUCACUGAGAGGACAGGUCCGGUGUCAGCUUUUGGGCUCUCCUGAGCAUCCUGACAAUGCAACUCCACCAGUAAUUUUGAAGUCAAUGGAGCAAUGCUGACUUACACCAGUUGAGGAUCUGGUGAAAUAUAUAUAACUUUACACUGUCUGUACAAUAUGGGCAAGUUAAUGGCAUGCUGAGAAGAUGAACUUUAGAUAUAUAUUUAGAUUCACAACUGCAACAUUGUUUCAAAGUUGAUCUUUUUGUAUUUAAGUGGAGCUGAGUUUGCCACUUACUUUUUUCCCCCUGAACACUUGAAUCUUCUCAUCCUCUUUGCUAGAAUGCAGUGGAAUGUUUACUUUCUCAUUUUGUAACUCUCUCAUCUUGUGUAACAGUUGUGCUAGGGCAGUACUUGCUAUCUAGUUCUUUACUGAACUGCCACUUUUCUGUUUGGCCUUUGUUAAAAUUUCUGAUAAAUAACUGGCUGUCUACAGCUGUUCAAAUCAUGUUGCUUUUUUCUAAGUGUCAUCUUAGUGGUUGUUCUCACCAAUAUGGGCUUUACUUCAAAAGGAAAAUAAGGUACAAUAGGGCUUGUUGUUGAGUAAAACUGAACACGUGGGCAGUGGGAAAAGAAUCUGAAAAGCGAAUUGCACAGGUUUAAUACACCAGCCAUUCACCUCUCACUGUGACGAAGGCCCUACAGAAUUUUGGCAAUAUCACGGUCUACAAUUUACUUUAAAUAACUGUUCUUUGUUUUCUAUAGUUGGUGUUAUUUCUUCACGUUUUCUCAUUUGAAGCUAAUCCACAGCUAAGAAACAAUUAGCAUGCUUGUGCAUGUUAGUGUUAACUGGGCUUUAGGUUUUUGAAAUAGCAUUAGCUAUACUCUUGCUAUGAAACUGACCACAUAGGAGGCCAAUUAAUAUACUACUUUGUUGUUAAAGGCACUAAAAUAAUCAUAAAUUUACUUUCAUAUGAUUUAUAUUAAUCAAUGGUCUAGUCUAU